rnacentral:rRNA from 1 species
GACGAACGCUGGCGGCGUGCCUAAUACAUGCAAGUCGAGCGGACAGAAGGGAGCUUGCUCCCGGAAGUUAGCGGCGGACGGGUGAGUAACACGUGGGCAACCUACCCUGUAGAUCGGGAUAACAUCGAGAAAUCGGUGCUAAUACCGGAUAAUCAUUUGAAGUGCAUGCUUCGAAUGUAAAAGAUGGCUCCGGCUAUCACUACGGGAUGGGCCCGCGGCGCAUUAGCUAGUUGGUAAGGUAAUGGCUUACCAAGGCAACGAUGCGUAGCCGACCUGAGAGGGGGAUCGGACACACUGGGACUGAGACACGGCCCAGACUCCUACGGGAGGCAGAAGUAGGGAAUCUUCCGCAAUGGACGAAAGUCUGACGGAGCAACGCCGCGUGAGUGAUGAAGGUUUUCGGAUCGUAAAGCUCUGUUGCUAGGGAAGAACAAGUGCCGUUUGAAUAAGGCGGCACCUUGACGGUACCUAACCAGAAAGCCACGGCUAACUACGUGCCAGCCGCCGCCGUAAAAC